UUAAGCGACUAAGCGUACACGGUGGAUGCCCUGGCAGUCAGAGGCGAUGAAGGACGUGCUAAUCUGCGAAAAGCGCCGGCGAGGUGAUAUGAACCUUUGACCCGGCGAUGUCCGAAUGGGGAAACCCAGUGUGAUUCGUCACACUAUCGUUAACUGAAUACAUAGGUUAACGAGGCGAACCGGGGGAACUGAAACAUCUAAGUACCCCGAGGAAAAGAAAUCAACCGAGAUUCCCCCAGUAGCGGCGAGCGAACGGGGAGCAGCCCAGAGUCUGAAUCAGCUUGUGUGUUAGUGGAAGCGUCUGGAAAGUCGCACGGUACAGGGUGACAGUCCCGUACACGAAAAUGCACAGGUUGUGAACUCGAAGAGUAGGGCGGGACACGUGGUAUCCUGUCUGAAUAUGGGGGGACCAUCCUCCAAGGCUAAAUACUCCUGACUGACCGAUAGUGAACCAGUACCGUGAGGGAAAGGCGAAAAGAACCCCGGCGAGGGGAGUGAAAAAGAACCUGAAACCGUGUACGUACAAGCAGUGGGAGCACCUUCGGGUGUGACUGCGUACCUUUUGUAUAAUGGGUCAGCGACUUAUAUUCUGUAGCAAGGUUAACCGUAUAGGGGAGCCGAAGGGAAACCGAGUCUUAACUGGGCGUUAAGUUGCAGGGUAUAGACCCGAAACCCGGUGAUCUAGCCAUGGGCAGGUUGAAGGUUGGGUAACACUAACUGGAGGACCGAACCGACUAAUGUUGAAAAAUUAGCGGAUGACUUGUGGCUGGGGGUGAAAGGCCAAUCAAACCGGGAGAUAGCUGGUUCUCCCCGAAAGCUAUUUAGGUAGCGCCUCGUGAACUCAUCUUCGGGGGUAGAGCACUGUUUCGGCUAGGGGGCCAUCCCGGCUUACCAACCCGAUGCAAACUACGAAUACCGAAGAAUGUUAUCACGGGAGACACACGGCGGGUGCUAACGUCCGUCGUGAAGAGGGAAACAACCCAGACCGCCAGCUAAGGUCCCAAAGUCAUGGUUAAGUGGGAAACGAUGUGGGAAGGCACAGACAGCCAGGAUGUUGGCUUAGAAGCAGCCAUCAUUUAAAGAAAGCGUAAUAGCUCACUGGUCGAGUCGGCCUGCGCGGAAGAUGUAACGGGGCUAAACCAUGCACCGAAGCUGCGGCAGCGACACUAUGUGUUGUUGGGUAGGGGAGCGUUCUGUAAGCCGUUGAAGGUGGCCUGUGAGGGUUGCUGGAGGUAUCAGAAGUGCGAAUGCUGACAUAAGUAACGAUAAAGCGGGUGAAAAGCCCGCUCGCCGGAAGACCAAGGGUUCCUGUCCAACGUUAAUCGGGGCAGGGUGAGUCGACCCCUAAGGCGAGGCCGAAAGGCGUAGUCGAUGGGAAACAGGUUAAUAUUCCUGUACUUGGUGUUACUGCGAAGGGGGGACGGAGAAGGCUAUGUUAGCCGGGCGACGGUUGUCCCGGUUUAAGCAUGUAGGCGGAACGAUUAGGUAAAUCCGGUCGUUUAUUAACGCUGAGGUGUGAUGACGAGGCACUACGGUGCUGAAGUAACAAAUGCCCUGCUUCCAGGAAAAGCCUCUAAGCAUCAGGUAACAUUAAAUCGUACCCCAAACCGACACAGGUGGUCAGGUAGAGAAUACCAAGGCGCUUGAGAGAACUCGGGUGAAGGAACUAGGCAAAAUGGUGCCGUAACUUCGGGAGAAGGCACGCUGAUAUGUAGGUGAAGCCCCUGCGGGUGGAGCUGAAAUCAGUCGAAGAUACCAGCUGGCUGCAACUGUUUAUUAAAAACACAGCACUGUGCAAACACGAAAGUGGACGUAUACGGUGUGACGCCUGCCCGGUGCCGGAAGGUUAAUUGAUGGGGUUAGCGGCAACGCGAAGCUCUUGAUCGAAGCCCCGGUAAACGGCGGCCGUAACUAUAACGGUCCUAAGGUAGCGAAAUUCCUUGUCGGGUAAGUUCCGACCUGCACGAAUGGCGUAAUGAUGGCCAGGCUGUCUCCACCCGAGACUCAGUGAAAUUGAACUCGCUGUGAAGAUGCAGUGUACCCGCGGCAAGACGGAAAGACCCCGUGAACCUUUACUAUAGCUUGACACUGAACACUGGUCCUUGAUGUGUAGGAUAGGUGGGAGGCUUUGAAGUGUGGACGCCAGUCUGCAUGGAGCCGUCCUUGAAAUACCACCCUUUAAUGGCUGGUGUUCUAACGUAGACCCGUAAUCCGGGUUGCGGACAGUGUCUGGUGGGUAGUUUGACUGGGGCGGUCUCCUCCCAAAGAGUAACGGAGGAGCACGAAGGUUAGCUAAUCCUGGUCGGACAUCAGGAGGUUAGUGCAAUGGCAUAAGCUAGCUUGACUGCGAGAGUGACGGCUCGAGCAGGUGCGAAAGCAGGUCAUAGUGAUCCGGUGGUUCUGAAUGGAAGGGCCAUCGCUCAACGGAUAAAAGGUACUCCGGGGAUAACAGGCUGAUACCGCCCAAGAGUUCAUAUCGACGGCGGUGUUUGGCACCUCGAUGUCGGCUCAUCACAUCCUGGGGCUGAAGUAGGUCCCAAGGGUAUGGCUGUUCGCCAUUUAAAGUGGUACGCGAGCUGGGUUUAGAACGUCGUGAGACAGUUCGGUCCCUAUCUGCCGUGGGCGCUGGAGAAUUGAGGGGGGCUGCUCCUAGUACGAGAGGACCGGAGUGGACGCAUCACUGGUGUUCGGGUUGUCAUGCCAAUGGCACUGCCCGGUAGCUAAAUGCGGAAAAGAUAAGUGCUGAAAGCAUCUAAGCACGAAACUUGCCCCGAGAUGAGUUCUCCCUGAGACUUUAAGUCUCCUGAAGGAACGUUGAAGACGACGACGUUGAUAGGUCGGGUGUGUAAGCGCAGCGAUGCGUUGAGCUAACCGAUACUAAUGAACCGUGAGGCUUAACCUU
rnacentral:rRNA from 1 species